CAAAGAUUACGCCAUGCAAGUGAAAGUAUAUGCAUAUUUUAUAUGUAGAAACUGCGAACGGCUCAUUAAAACAGUUAUAAUCUACUUGACAUUUUUUCUAUAAGGAUAACUACGGAAAAGCUGUAGCUAAUACUUGCUUUAGCACUCUUGAUUCAUUUCUUGAGUGUGUACUUGUUAAGCCUUUUAAGAAAAAAGUUAUUAACUUAAGGAAUUAUAACAAAGAAGCGACACGUAAUGGAUCCGUCCAUUUUUAGUGUGUAUCAAUCGAGUUUCUGACCUAUCAGCUUUUGAUGUUAGGGUAUUGGCCUAACAUGGCUAUGACGGGUAACGGGGAAUUAGAGUUCGAUUCCGGAGAGGGAGCCUGAGAAAUAGCUACCACAUCUAAGGAAGGCAGCAGGCGCGUAAAUUACCCAAUUCUAAAGAAGAGAGGUAGUGACAAGAAAUAACAAUACAAGGCCAAUCUGGCUUUGUAAUUGGAAUGAUGGGAAUUUAAAACCUUCCCAAAACUCAAUUGGAGGGCAAGUCUGGUGCCAGCAGCCGCGGUAAUUCCAGCUCCAAUAGCGUAUAUUAAAAUUGUUGCAGUUAAAACGCUCGUAGUUGAAUUUCAAAGAAUCGAUAUUUUAAGCAACGCUUCUAGCUUAAUCCACAUAACUGAUACUUCGUAUCGACUUUGUGCGCAUUUUGCUAUUAUGUGUUCUUUUAAUUAAAAUGAUUCUUUUUAAGGACUUUCUUUGCUUCGGCUUGGAAGCCCUUGUUACUUUGAGUAAAUUAGAGUGUUCAAAGCAAACAGAUAUAGCAUUGCGCGUUUGAAUACUACAGCAUGGAAUAACAAAAUUGAACAAGUCAGAAUUUUGUUCUUUUUUCUUAUUUUGGCUUAGUUACGAUUAAUAGGAGUAGCUUGGGGGCAUUUGUAUUCAGAUGUCAGAGGUGAAAUUCUUAGAUUUUCUGGAGACAAACAACUGCGAAAGCAUUUGCCUAAAAUACUUCCAUUAAUCAAGAACGAAAGUUAAGGGAGUGAAGACGAUCAGAUACCGUCGUAAUCUUAACCAUAAACUAUGCCGACUAGGCUUUGGAUGAAAGAUUUUAAAAUAAGAAUUUUCUCUUCGGAGUUUAUUCUUAGAUUGCUUCCUUCAGUGCCUUAUGAGAAAUCAAAGUCUUUGGGUUCUGGGGCGAGUAUUCGCGCAAGCGAGAAAGUUAAAAGAAUUGACGGAAGGGCACCACCAGGCGUGGAGCUUGCGGCUUAAUUUGACUCAACACGGGAAAACUCACUAGUUUAAGACAAGAGUAGGAUUGACAGAUUAAUAGCUCUUUCUUGAUUUCUUGGAUGGUGAUGCAUGGCCGUUUUUAGUUCGUGAAUAUGAUUUGUCUGGUUAAUUCCGAUAACGAACGAGAUCUUAACCUGCUAAUUAGCGGCAAAUACGAUAUAUUCUUACGUGGGACUGAAUUCGGUUGAUUUGCUUACUUUGAAGAAAAUAUUGGGAUACGUAACAGUUUCCCUUUCCCUUUUCUACUUAGUUCGCUUUUCAUACUGUUUCUUUUUCGCGUAAGAAUGUAUUU
rnacentral:rRNA from 1 species